rnacentral:rRNA from 1 species
UACGAAGGGGGCUAGCGUUGUUCGGAAUUACUGGGCGUAAAGCGCACGUAGGCGGGUCGUUAAGUCAGGGGUGAAAUCCCAGAGCUCAACUCCAGAACUGCCUCCGAUACUGAGAGUCUUCGAGUCCGGGAGAGGUGAGUGGAACUGCGAGUGUAGAGGUGAAAUUCGUAGAUAUUCGCAAGAACACCAGCGGCGAAGGCGGCUCACUGGCCCGGUACUGACGCUGAGGUGCGAAAGCGUGGGGAGCAAACAGG